AGAUUUUCAAAGCCAGCCUAAGAAGAAAGAUCUUUUUCUCAUCAAGAAGAUGUGGGCGUGCACACUGACACACGCACUUGCACAAGUGUGCACACAAACACAAUCGAUCAUGAGCUCUUUUGAUAACAUCAAUUAGAUACCACGGGCAAUAAAUGGAAUUCAAGAAAAUGGACCUCAUAGAAAUGCCAUUUUUGAAAUUGUGUUCUGCAUCUUACAGGAUAUGGUGGAUCUCUACAGAGGUGCCCAGGUCCUCAGAAUGCACAAUUAGAAGCACAGGGAAAUGAAUUUUGGUGAACUUCUUACUUCAAGAUAUCCCAUCUCCCCUUUACACACAGAGGAAACAUACCUGGAUGACCUUUGUUCACUCUCCCAUUCGUCAUCAGAACUGCUCUUUUUUUUUUUUUUAGGCCUACACAUAUCAAGGGGUUAGACUUAAGGGUCCUGAAAUGGACACUAUUUUUUUCCAUCCCUUUGUAUUUACUCAUAAAAUUCGUAGUCCUUUAUUACAGCAUCUCAUUAAGAAGUGAAUUACAUCACAUCUUAUAAGAAGUAAUGUAUGUACAACAGUUUCAAAACUGUUUUUGAGAUUUAGAUUUUGUUGAAAAGAAUAAUCCUAACUUUCCUCCAAUGCAUAGAUAUAUGCCAUAGUCAUGUAUCAAUUAUAGCUUUAAUAGAAUAGGAUUGCUGUGCUAUGAUCCUGUUUUCUUUUCUCCUCUGCAUCCCCUUGCAAAGUUGUACAAUAUUCCCUUCCAUGCUUUAAACUGGCAAACAGCACUGCUCAUCUCACAGAAUUAAAACCUUUCCAGAUGUGGAUUUGAUUAAUAGAAGCUUACUAACUGUGGCUAAUUACUGAUAAUGAUAGUAUCACAAGGCAACUUCCUCAUCAAUGUCACCUUGGUCUUUUAUGGUUGCUAGGAUAGAAAGAAACUCUACUUGCCACCCUCCUCCACUCCCAAGUGAAAACAGGAAAGGUUUUCAACUUUGCUUUGAAUGGUAGCUAAUACAGGUUCUAUAAAAAAUAGCCACCCAGAAGAAGACAGUUGCCAUUUAGAGUCAUAUGAGA